GAUGAACGCUGGCGGCGUGCCUAAUACAUGCAAGUCGAGCGAAUGACGAGGAGCUUGCUCCUCUGAUUUAGCGGCGGACGGGUGAGUAACACGUGGGUAACCUGCCUGUAAGACGGGGAUAACUCCGGGAAACCGGAGCUAAUACCGGAUGAUAACGAGAAGCGCCUGCUUCUUUUUUGAAAGUCGGUUUCGGCUGACGCUUACAGAUGGGCCCGCGGGGCAUUAGCUAGUUGGUGAGGUAACGGCUCACCAAGGCGACGAUGCGUAGCCGACAUGGGAGGGUGAUCGGCCACACUGGGACUGAGACACGGCCCAGACUCCUACGUGAGGCAGCAGUGGGGAAUCUUCGGCAAUGGACGAAAGUCUGACCGAGCAACGCCGAGUGAGGGAUGAAGGCCUUCGGGUCGUAAAGCUCUGUUGUCAGAGAAGAACAAGUACCGGAGUAACUGCCGGUACCUUGACGGUACCUGACCAGAAAGCAACGGCUAACUACGUGCCAGCCGCCGCCGUAAAAC
rnacentral:rRNA from 1 species